rnacentral:rRNA from 1 species
CCAGAGCAUUCCCGGUGCUCUGCUCCUCCCACCCGUGUCCGCGUCCUCUGCGGGAAGCUUUUGGAAGCUUCAAGGCAUGAGGAGCAGUAGAGUCCGCGGAGGAGGCGGUGGUGGUGGUGGCGGAGAGGCCGCCGCCUUCCUCGCCGCGCUGCUGUGCGGCCUCCUGCUCUUGCUCGGCGCCGCCGACGCGCAGGGCAUCCGGCGCCCCUCGGCCUACAAAACACUACGAGGUGAUGCUCCCCUUGUUAUCGCCCAAGGCGGAUUUUCAGGGGUAUUUCCUGAUUCCAGCCAGGCCGCCUUUGCUUUCGCAUUGCUUGCCAGCGCACCUGAUACAAGCGUGUGGUGCGAUGUGCAACUCACAAAAGAUGGCGUUGGGAUUUGCCUUCGAGACAUAAAUAUGGCAAACUGCACCAAUGCUGCAACAGCCUACCCUGCGAAAAAGAAGAAGUAUGUCAUCGAUGGCGUGCCCAAAACUGGACACUUCUCUCUCGACUUCACCUAUUCUGAGGUCCAAAACACUUACUUAACACAGGGAUUUUAUUCUCGCACCGACAGGUUUGAUUCCAUAUAUAAUAUCUUUUCCGUGACAGACUUGCAGUCCUAUAUCAAGCCGCCUUCCGUUUGGCUGAAUGUUCAGCAUGACGCCUUCUAUUCGCAACAUGGUUUGAACAUGAGAAGAUACAUAGUUUCCAUCCUAAAGAGUGUCUCUGUGAAGUAUAUUUCAUCACCUGAGAUAGGUUUCCUCAAAAGCAUAUCUAAAAGAGUUCGCGGCAGAACAAAGCUUGUGUUUCGCUUUCCUGAUAACUUUCUGUCUGAUCCUUCUACAAACCAAACCUAUAGCUCACUGUCUAAGAACCUAACGUUUAUUAAGACAAUUGCUUCUGGUAUCAUGGUCCCCAAGAGCUACAUCUGGCCAGUGACGAAUGAUAACUAUCUGCUGCCUCCAACACCCUUUGUCCAAGAUGCCCACAGGGCAGGGUUAGAAAUAUAUGCAUCUGACUUCGCAAAUGAUAGGAUUAUUCCCUAUAACUACAGUUAUGAUCCCUUGCAAGAAUACCUAUCAUUUAUAAGUGAUGGUGGCUUCUCCGUGGAUGGUGUGUUAACAGACUACCCUAUUACUGCAUCCGAGGCUAUUGGCUGUUUUGCUAACUUGAAUGAAAGUAAGGCGGAUCAUGGGAAACCUUUAAUUAUUUCGCAUAAUGGUGCCAGUGGAGACUAUCCGGAUUGUACUGAUCUUGCCUACCAGAAUGCAAUUAAGGAUGGUGCGGACGUGAUUGACUGUGCCCUUCAAGUCACAAAAGAUGGAGUUCUUAUUUGCAUGAGUUCCAUCAACCUGCUCGAGACCACCAAUGUUCAGAGGACACCUUUCAGUACCCUUACAUCUGUCAUUCCUGAAAUUAAGAGUACAGCAGGGAUUUAUACAUUCAACCUUACUUGGAACAACAUUAGCGAUAGUUCUUUGAAACCCAAGAUAUCUAGCCCAUUGAGUAGCUACUAUCUUGUAAGAAACCCGAGAUACACAAACAAUGGGAAGUUUGUCAAGUUCUCAGAUUUUCUGGAAUAUGGAAAGGAUCAGGAUUUGUCUGGCAUCAUGAUCAUUAUCGAGAAUGCUGCAUUUAUAGCGAAAUCUUUAGGAGUUGAUGUUCUCGAGUCCUUAACCACUGCCUUAAAUGAUGCUGGCUAUAAUAAUCAAACGACCAAGGAAGUCAUGAUCCAGUCAACAGAUAGCGCUGUUCUUGUCAAAUUGAAGCAGCAGAAAGCAAAAUACAAGCUUGUUUACACUCUCCCGCAAGGCAUUGGGGAUGCUUCUCCUUCCUCACUAGCCGAUGUCAAGGAGUUUGCCGAGGCUGUGGUCGUUGACAGGAAUUCCUUUUUUGCAAUAAGCUUGCAAUUUAUCAUCAACCAAACCAGCCUGGUGAAAGACUUGCGGUCCGCAGGGCUAACGGUAUAUGCGCAGGUGUUCCGCAAUGAGUUCCUAUCACAACCUUGGGACUUCUUCUCGGAUGAAACAGUGGAAAUCAAUAGCUAUGCCCAGUCGCUUAAAGUCGAUGGCUUAAUUACCGACUUCCCCAAGACAGUGAGGAGAUACAAGAGGAAUUCUUGUACAGGAAAGGACAAGCCCGCCUACAUGGAGACCGUUGAUGUCGGCGGCCUCGUGCAGCUACUCCAGAGAAAUGCCGCUCCUGAGGCCCAGCCGCCAGCGGUGGCACCGAUGCCAGAAUUGAACGAAACAGAGGUGCAGCAGCCGCCAUUCCCCCCUGUCGCGCCUAAGAAUGCACCUCCUGGUGCCGCCGCACCUCCCGGUUCAUCGCCAUCUGAUGCUCACACGACGGCUGUAAGCACCUGCAUUCUGCUGGUAGCGGCCUGUGCAGCUCUGCUGCUUUGAGCAGCAGACCAUGAGGCUGUGUGCCAGUAGGUUAAGUUACCGGAGGAGCCGUUAGACUUGCGCAGGCAAGCUAUUAUCUUGCUAUUUUGUGCAAUAUAUACACACAGUUACAUCGGGUGUUUGUUUCUGUAGCUAUUCCGGCACAUUGGUGUAUUUGAUCUAUCAAUUGAAUUGAAGAGGUUCGGUUCUAUCACACUAGCCAGCGCAGGUGCUCGAUAUUUCAUACUACUACAUUGCUGAGUGCUGACCGGUGGGAAGAUGCUAUCUACCAUGUUGUGUAUAGAAGAACUGUACUUCUUAGCUGAAAAGAAGUGUUGCGCUCUGAAAAUUGAGGAAGUGUGCAUGUUUCUAGAUUCAGGUGUAAGGUCUCGGCACUGUUAAUAAGUGUGAUGUCUUAUUUUAUCGCCAAAGAAACAUGUGUGCAGCACAAGACAGAUAAUGGUAACCAAAAAAGGCGAAAAGGAUGAACGAGUGGAGGCAAGUAGAGGCAGGUAUCAGAUUACUGGGCGCUAGUCUGUAAAAUCAGCACGAGAUACCCAGAGAAAACCAGCCAGGAUUGUGCAGGACACAAGCGAAAGCCGAACAAGAUAUUCAGAUAAAACCACAGAAAUCCGUGUCACCUAGAAACCAUUAGGUUCGAGCAAAGCGUCUCAAAACAGAUUUAUCUUUUUCUCCGAAAAGGAGGUUGUUGUACCUGACCCUACGAACGGAAUACGAUUAGCGCAUCAUCCUAGCAUGAUAUUCUCU